rnacentral:rRNA from 1 species
UCCAGACUCCUACGGGAGGCAGCAGUGAGGAAUAUUGGUCAAUGGACGAGAGUCUGAACCAGCCAAGUAGCGUGAAGGAUGACUGCCCUAUGGGUUGUAAACUUCUUUUAUAUGGGAAUAAAAUGUUCCACGUGUGGGAUUUUGUAUGUACCAUAUGAAUAAGGAUCGGCUAACUCCGUGCCAGCAGCCGCGGUAAUACGGAGGAUCCGAGCGUUAUCCGGAUUUAUUGGGUUUAAAGGGAGCGUAGGUGGAUUGUUAAGUCAGUUGUGAAAGUUUGCGGCUCAACCGUAAAAUUGCAGUUGAAACUGGCAGUCUUGAGUACAGUAGAGGUGGGCGGAAUUCGUGGUGUAGCGGUGAAAUGCUUAGAUAUCACGAAGAACUCCGAUUGCGAAGGCAGCAUGCCGGCUCCACACUGACGCUGAGGCACGAAAGCGUGGGUAUCGAACAGGAUUAGAUACCCCAGUA